UAUGGUGUGCCGGGGGCCGCGCGGGCCGGGAGUUGGGUGGGCUGGGGGACAGGCGCGCCCGCGCCGCCCGCUCCAGCUGGGCUAGUGCUGCACAUUCCGGCCAGCCCCUCCUCAAGACCCCAUUCCCAAGCCCCUUCUCAGCUCCCUCGGGCCGGCAGAGCGGCUCUGAUCAGUAAAAUGCUGUUGAAGGCCCACGGGCAUGACUGCACCCCUCACUAAUUGGUCAUUGGUUUGGGGAGGACACCACUGUCCCAGUGGAACCUUGAGCACACCUUGGAGCCCUCCUCUUCCUCUCCGGACCUGUGCCAAACUGUGAGUGGCACAGAGCAAGGACUGUAUGUGUUCUCUUCUUUGUUGCAUACUCAGUUCCUUGACCACAGUGCCAAGCACACAGCGAGCACUCCCUGUGUAUCUGCUGAGUAAAUAAACGAAUGAACAAACCCAACACAUUUCAGCCAAGUCCUGCUGAUGUUUCUCCUCCGAUCUAGCUCCUCCUUUCCAGCCUUACUUCUGCCACUCCAGAUUUCACCCCCAUCAGCUUCAGACUGGAUAAAAGGAAACCAUUUCUCUAAAGGAUCACUUGCUCUCUCAUUUCAGGCCAUCCUGCAGCCACCAGAACCUUCCACAUGAAAUGAAAGGCUCACCACUUCAUAGGCUUUAAGGAAAUUCUUGGCCAGGUGUGGUGCCUCACUCAUGUAAUCCCAGUGCUUUAAGAGGCCAAGAUGGGAGGAUUGUUUGAGCCAGCUGUUUGAGACCAGCCUGGGCAACGUCAUGAGACCCCAUCUCCACAAAAAAAAAAAAAAAGAAAAUUGGCUGGGUGCGGUGGCUCAUGUCUGUAAUCCCAGCAAUUUUGGAGGCUGAGGCGGGUGGAUCACUUGAGGUCAGGAGUUUGAGACCAGCCUGGCCAACAUGGUGAAACCCCGUCACUACUAAAAAUACAAAAAUUAGCCAGGCGUGGCGGCAGGUGCCUGUAAUCCCAGCUACUUGCGAGGCUGAGGAAGAAUUGCGUGAACCUAGGAGGUGGAGGUUGCAGUGAGCCAAGAUCAUGCUGCUGCACUCCAGCCUGGGCAACAGAGUGAGACUCCAUCUCAAAAAUAAUAAAAAUAAAUUAAA